CAGCAAGCUGUGUACCCAUGUGUGCAAUCGGGUGCUGGGAAGAGAGCAGAGCACCUUCAGGUUUUAGCUUCUCUGAACUGACCAUGGCAGAAUUGAUUGUGUUUUCUUGGAAAUAACAGCUUGUGUUGAGCUUGGAAAGGGAUCUUCUGGGAUUUGUUGUUUUCUGCAUCUCUAAAGUAGGAGCAGUUCCCUAGGAGAGGUUUUGGGGGAGGGCACCCUGUGCACCUUCUGCAGCUCACCACUUGUAAGGUGAAAGGGACAUCUUUGCCUCAUGGAGUCUACUGGUGGAUAAUACUAAUCCUUGAAGAGCCAAAGAAAUUUGACUUUACAUAGGCACCUAAGGAAUUGUGAAUUGCUUUUUGGCUCCAGAGGCUGCUCUCCGGGAAGGUGUCAGGGUGUAAGUGUGUGAUCUGGUUGUGAAAUAUGGUCCUGUGCAACCCCCACCUGAGCCUUUUCAAGGUAAAUAACAGCAUCUUACACCACCCACCUCCUCAGCUGCAUGAUAGAACAAUGAAGUCAGAAUUAUCUGUUUGCAACACCACAGAAUGUUCUUGCCAUGGAAAUGCUUAGGAUGUCUCAAAUCCAGCAUAUUAUCCCUGAUGGAUCAGAGCACCGUCUCAGGCCGAGGACAGUUGAGAAGGAAUUGAGGGCAUCGGGUCUUGCGCGCGUUAGAUGAGGCACCAAUGACGCUGCGAGAUGCUCACUGCAUGCAUGACCCAGACAGACACUGCUACCGAAAAUCUCUGAUCAAAGGCACCGGGACACACCGACAGCUGAAGUGGCGCCCCCACAGGGACACAUAUCUCGAAGAAUCUCAGUAACU